CAUAUGCAGUAGUGUAUGGGAAAUUGAUAAUCACAGCCUGAACCUUUGAUUAAUCAGCUGAGGCAAGUGUUGGGUCAGCUGGGGGAACGCAGGUGAGAGUAAUUUAGUUGUGCUCCCAGAAGGGGUGGAGCUUGACUCUAUCUCCUCUAGACCUCAUUUAAGGGCUGACCACCACUAAGACAGCUUCUCUUGGAGAUUGUCUCAGUGGUUCCCUGCAGACUGAAGGCUUCCAUUGGGUGAAUUUUUCCUGUAAAUAACCUUUUGGGUAUUUACAAUUACCAUCUUUCCAUUAUUGUCACUGUACAAGUAUGUAUUUUGAUUUGGUUUGGUUUUCCUCUGCAGACUCUCCUUUAAUCUGUUUAUUGUUGUUGUUUUGUUUUAAGGUACAGAGGUUCAUUUAUCUGUAUGUGACCUAAAUUCCAAUACCACAAACUCCUCCUUCUUCUCUUUUAAGCACAUGGUACUUGUUGACAGCUUACCAAGGGAAGCAGGUGCAGGUUGAAUGCAAGAGGACAAGUUUCCUUCCCUGACUGGAGAGAUAGAACUGAAUUAUACUGAAACUGCAUAGAGCCUAUAGUCAAAGUCAUUAUGUCCAGCUGUGUUUUUGGAGAAGGUUCUAGAUCACUCAGGGCUGUGGUCCUACUGCCAGGGCUUGCACAAACACUGAGGUGGAAAUACCAAAGAACAGCUAUUGGGAGAGGAGGGAGGAGAACGUCUUUGGGAAAAACUGAUAUAGCGUUCAAUAAAAAUAGGAAUAGCAGAUUUUUACAUGUCCAAAGUUAGAAAGGGCUUUCUGGUACUUCAUCUUGUCUUUGUACCUCUGCUCAUACAAACACUACCCUGAAAUAAGCUGUAAAAUAUACUUUAACGAAGUAUAUAUAAAAAGAAUUACAUAUGUAAUUACUAAUCCCAAAUAUCAGUCUAGCCUUGUACUUUCCAUCGUGAGCCUGUAACAAUCUUCCUUUUCAAAUUUCUAUUUCCUUACCAUGAGAAGAAAGGUCAACUCAAGCAGCAAAAGAUAAUGGACACAGAAUUCAGGACACAGAAUUUAUGUUUAGAAAAUGAACAGCUUGCCUUUGGAGAAUUAAUAUGAAACAGCCAAAUUGCUUAAGAAAGAGAUUAUUUUGCCUAUUCACCUUUCUUCCUGGUAUCUUUUGCUAGAUAUUUUCCUAGAAUGACCCAUCUUUGCAAAUUUCAGUUCAUUCUCAAAGCAGCAGCCAAGGAUUACUCAUGUGGUCAGCACUGAUGCAGCUCAAUUUUACACGCAUGUCUACCAGUCAUGUGAGAAAGAAUUCCUCUGUUUUGGGAUGUGCCAAGUAUCAGUACUUCUAGGUAUCUUGUUUGUUGAUUUGAAAAUGAACCUGGUAAUCAUCACUAACAAGGGGUAGAGAAGGAGGAGGAAAAUUAUUGCACUACUUCACAAAUCUCUGUUCCUAAAUCAGAGGAAGAGGGUGACUGCUUUCUUUGUUAAAUUUUCCAAUUAUACUUUUGACUCACUUCAUACACUGGCAGAACAGACCCACAUCUUAUCUGUUUUCAUUUGCUACUGUCUCUUUGGUUAUUUUUCCUUACAUGCAAUUCAUAUCCUAUAAAGCAUUUCCCAAGAGGUAGAAACUGUUAACAGCACAGCCUACGCACAAUCAAUAAAAAGUGGUAAAUGCUUCCCUAAAUUAAUAAU
ensembl:lncRNA